rnacentral:rRNA from 1 species
GACGUAGGGCGCGAGCGUUGUCCGGAUUUAUUGGGCGUAAAGAGCUCGUAGGCGGCUUGUCGCGUCGAAUGUGAAAUCUCGGGGCUCAACUCCGAGCUUGCAUUCGAUACGGGCAGGCUAGAGUUCGGUAGGGGAGACUGGAAUUCCUGGUGUAGCGGUGAAAUGCGCAGAUAUCAGGAGGAACACCAGUGGCGAAGGCGAGUCCCUGGACAACACCUGACACUGAGGCACGAAAGCUAGGGGAGCAAACAGG